CCUGUCAGUGAUGAAAUCAUCUCACUGUUUCGAGUUUAAAACAAUGAGAAAACUCUUUUACAUGCACUACCAUCUGAGAUGGG